CUUCCCCAGGCCACACACAAUCAGCUACAGGAGAGAAGCACAUUGCAACUCACAACACACAGAAAUGACCAGAUAUUUCUGCCUGCUGUGGACAUAUACUUCCAUGCCACUCCCCAGAAAGUGUGUGUGUGUGUGUGUGUCAGUGGGGAUGUUCUUGCCGUUAGGUUUAAGCUCGUGCUGGAUGAUCUGUCCGUAAGCGUUGUGUUCCACACAGAAGUAUCCAGACCAGGCUGUUGUGCAGGUCCGGGUCAACGGCCUCCAUGUCCUCAAGUGUGAUGGAUUUGCCCAGUAACUGUUUGUAGAAGGGCAGAGUGAAGCCUCCAUCGAUGUAAUGGCCAUGAAACACCGCCAUGCCCAUGAUACGACCCACAAAGUGGAAAUAGGACAGGUGCUCCUACACACACACACACACACACACACACACAAGAGCAAGGGUUUGGAUUAAAAUAUAAUCAUGAAAACAAGAGUGUGCGCUGCUUUCUUUAACUUGCUACAUUUCUGUUUUUGUGUGUGUGUGAGAGAAACUUACUGGGUUAACUGCAGAAUCUGGGUUGAUCUGAAGCGUGUAGAUGUCGUCACGUGAGUAUUGGAACAGGCCAUAGUAAGGGUUGAGCAUUUCAUGGGAUAACAAAUACAGCCAUUCUCUACAUCACAGAUCACACAGAAGAGCAGAUGAUGAUCUCCAAAUAUUCACAAACACAACAUGUAAUAUGAACUUGUGAAAAUUCCUUCUUUAAUACAGCACAGUGUGAAUCAUGUGGCCACUUAAAAGUUGCUUAAAAAGAAAAAAACACUGGAUAAAAGAAAGCCUUUAUAUUUGUACUGUACCUGGCCACGCCCCCAUAAUCAAGGCCCUCCUCUCCUCUGAACUUUACCAUCAGCCUCUUCCACAAGUCCUUCUGCCUCAUCUUCAUAACCUGCCGAUAUGAUUCCUGCACACACCAAUUAAGUAAAGUUCUCUAAAAUAGUUGACACAAGAUACAAAAUAUAUAGCUAUAUAAAUUAUGUAAUGUACUGGUAUUACAAUUAUACUCUCUCUUAUUUAAUACUUUUGUUACUAGAGAGACAAUAAACAUGGCUGGUGUGACAGCUAGCUUCUAACAUUUACUUACCUGAUUUGCUUGCUUACUAAAAAGCCCUUAUAGUAACACUAGGUCACAAUCUGAAACAAGCUAGUUAAUAAGGAUGAGCUGGCUGGAGGAAAACAUGUACGAGGAUGAAAAGGUAUGAAAGCUAUGAAGUGGAUAAUUUCAGCCAAAGGAACAGUAUUAACACAUGAAUUCACUAUACAAUUAUAUAAUCUGCAUAAGCUGUUCGAUCAUAAGCUUAUUUGAUUAACAUUUAGAAUAAUGCACGAGUAUAAUAUACUGUAUAUAUAUUUGACAGUUGUUUUACACUUAAUUCAUUAGCUUUGUACUGCUGUUUCUUGUAUCCCAUGCUCAUGUACAUCUCAUGAAGUACUUAAAAGUCCACACUAAUCUUGAUUUACCAGAUGAGUGAUUCUACAGUGUGGAACACUCAGACCUCAAUUCUCUCUAACAAAAUAUGUCUGAAAACUCCCUGGACAGCAAUACAUAUCUGACUACAAGCUCUCCAUGCAGCUCUAAAGAUGUUCACAAAGGGAAAAAAGAAUGAGUAAAAGCAGGAGGGGGCAAAAAAAAAAAAAGAAUGUACAAGUUCAAAAAUGAGAGCGAGAGCAUGAGUUUAUAGCACUUGUUUAAAUGAUGUAACUGUGUGACUGUUUCCAAGCUUUACACAAAGCAAACUCGACACUCCAGCAGUGUAUUCUAGAGGCAAGCAGUGGGAGAAGCAUCUGAAUACACAGUGAUACAUGUAUGAGUCACGCCAGCAUGGAGAACACUGUAUUUCUUUACUGUUGCUCAACAUGCAUCAACAUCUUUAUGAUGUGCUAAAAUACAAGAAGAGCAAACACGAUAUGGUCACCAUUCUGGGAGUUAGUCUUGACAACCCUGAACUCUAGAUGCUGUGCAUAAGCUCAAUAACUAAUCACAAGUCUAACAAGUUAGCUACCCAGGUAGUAGCUGUGAAGUCUUUCAUAUAAACAGGUUAACUGUGUAAUGAAAGCAGAAAUAACUGAAGAAAUGUAAAAUAUUAACACACACACCUCCCCAGCCUGCCUUCUACCAAACGUAUGACUAGUGUAAAGGGAGUUGUGUUGCCUUUUGAGAAAUUUACAUUCUUUCCUUCAGCCGUGCCUGGAUUCUGGACCUGCAAUGCAAGGCAAAGCGCUACAGGCCGGCCAGGCCCUUAAUACCACAAAAUACACCUGACACCUGUCCAUGGGCUGAUUUCUGUUAAGGAACAUUAUUAGUACUCCUUAUACUAUAAAUGGUUUGCGUUAUAGUCAUUAAUUAUUACACGUGCCAUAGUUUUACCUAUUGGUGCCAGUGGUUUUAAUGCCAUUUAAUACCUUGGUCGGUUGAUUUGUUGACGUUGCAGACCUGAGAAUGAUUUACAACACUGGAAGUGGAAAGGACUUUGUGUUUUAAAAAUGUUAGCAGCUGUUGAGGUAACAACGGUUUAUUGUGUCUAUAUACAGAAACUGUACAUCAUGUCAUGGUAUUUUAUAAAUGAAACGUAUUUAUGUUAAAAGAGGAAUAAAUCACUUUCAGUAUGUACUGUUUAUUGAAAAAACUUCACACUAGAUAUAGUAACUGUUUACUGACAGGUAAAGCACAUGGGGUGUAUCACACCACCCCGUUGUUACCUGUAGCAGCACAUUUGUAAGUGUAUCGUUACUUACACUAUGUACGGAUAUGGUUUUUAUCAGGAAACUCAUUCUUUCAAAAUGCUUCCACUCUCUUGCAUUAGGACACUGCAGGUUUAAUGCACUGGAUUAAGGAGCUGAGGGUUAAGGACCUGAACGUUUAAAAAGAUGCAGCUUUAAGGAACUGUGUUAAUGAGCAGGAGGAGCUUUAAUCCACUUUAAAUCAGGAAACAAUGUUGAGGUGCAAAAUGGUAAGGAGCUGAGGGUUAUGGAAUUGUCUUAAUUCUCCAAUUCCUUAAGGAGAAAUGCUGAGGAGCUCAAGCUUUAAUGAGUUGCAUUAGAGAGCUGAAGGAUUAAGAAGCUCAUGUUUUAAGAGGACAUAUUAAGAUUCUGACAUUUUAAAGAUGCAAAGGUUUAUGAAUCCGUGUUAAGGGGCAGAAAGUUUAUAGAGUUUGGAUAUGGUGCUGAAGGUUUAAAGAGCAAUGUUGUGCAGGGUAAGCUUUAAGAAGCCAAAGGUCAAGUGAGCCAAGCUUUAAAAAGCAGAACAUUUAAGGAGUUGAGUUAAUUGAGCUGUGUUAAGAGGUAGAAAGGUUAAAGAAAAAUGUAAGAAGUACAUUUAAGUGUUAGGAAGCUAUGAUGAAGUACUUACAGUAACCAGAGUUAAAGGACCGAAGAGCUGUGUUAAGAUACUAACAGUUUAAAAGCUGAUGAAGGUUAGAGGAAUUAAUGAGCUGUGGUGUAUAUAACUGACAGCAAUGUAGGUGUAUUAAGGAGUGUGCUGGGACUCACCUCAAAGAUCUCCUCUCGACAGAGCUCGAUGCGACAGUGGCCAGCCUGUGGUUGCUGCUGAGACAACUCCUGCCUCAACACCUUCAGCUUGUGCACCAGAUCCCGCUUAUACUUGGGAGCAGUUAAACAGUCUUCAACCUCCUCAGGGAGAUUACACAGCGCAGGCUGCUCCUUCAGCUGGGGAGUACGACUGGACAGAGAGGAAGCGGGCGAGAGUCAGAACAGAAUGUUACUGCAUCCUGUCAAGCCAUUCCUAAUGAAGUCCUGACUGCCAUUCUAGUGUCUAACGUAAGUCUGUACCUGCUCAACAAACACUUCAGUUCAUCACAAACUCUGAUAUUUUAUUAAAAUGGACAAAGAACAAAGGACAUGUGUUUUACAAACUGAAAGACCCUGGACUGUUUAACUAUACACAUACCAGCCUAACUAUUCUAAAAUAACUCACGAUGCAGAUCCCAAUAAAACAAGAGUGCAUGGUUUUAAACCCUUUGGCCUUUACACCAAAACGGUAGAACUUCAUACUAUGUAUUCUGUAUUGUAUGACCACAAGACUGAGUUUGUUUGCACAUGUAUUUUGAUGAUUUUCCAUAGACAUUGUUGCGCUGAGGUCUGAUGAGCGUAAAGGCCAUGUCAAGCAAAAUGCUUCACACAGCAUAAGAGUUAGCAGUUCCCCUCAGGUUAGUGGGUUUUCAGCACACAUUUAUUUGUGAUUUUUAAAGAAGUGCACAGCAGAUUGUAAAGGGAAAGUCCAGAGGACACCAACAUAGAGGGUUUUUGUUAAACAAACACCUGCCAAUGCAACCAACUAAACCACAUGUGGUUCUUGGCUGUUCUUUGAAUGUUUACUAUAAUCACUAGGUAGUGUGCUUGUUUUAAGGCAUGUCCGAGAAAAUGCAGAACAGUAAGCAAACAAUACACAGCAGUAAGUAGUAUCUAAAUAUAUCCUAGUUCAGGAUGCCUAGCAAUGCACUGGAUUACAUCAGAGAUGUCCGAACCUUUUUUCUUUCAUCAGACCACAUCAGAAUACCUGAGAUCCUAAAUAUUAUUUCUGAAUCAUAAAAAAAUGCUCACCCAUUCUCAUGUUUUUUUGUCUGUAGCCAUGACUAAUAUUGUCAAUUAAUUUGCAAGUCUAGUUUGGGGUGGGAGAGACUCUUGCACUUUAGCUAACUGUUAACCCAGCCUGCUGAACCCAUCUGGUUAAAGGGGCCGUCUAUCCUCCAUUGGAAUGGAAAAGUUAUGGGGUUGGACUAGGGUUGGACUUCAGUGUAUUACACAGUGAUUAAGAAACUAUGUAAGGAACUAAAUCAGUUUUUUAAAAAAAUCAUACAGUGGGCUAACAAAUAAUGAAGAUGCGGUUUCAUUGCUAUAUGUUCUCAAGAUUCUGGUUAACUGGAAAAUAUUGUUCAAUCCUGACCUUAGGUCCCUGUCUGUGUGGAUUGUUUUUGCCUGUAUCUGCUUGGGUUUCUUCAGGGCUCUCCAAAAUGCACUUUGUGCCCAUUGUCCCAGAGAUUCCUUGAGUUACUGAAGAUGAAUGAAUGAUUGUCAAAGUUUGGUGAAGAAAAGUUGAGUGUUUGGAAAUGUUGAAAAAUCCUGCAUGUUAACAGCAUUUAUUAAAUAAAGUAACUACUUUGUCCUUGUCAGGAUGAGGCGGGACACCAUGGAUGGAACGUAACAUGGAGAACGAAGCAUUUGUUUGAAUAACUGUGGCAGUCAUGAUUUGAGAAUGUUUGGAGAAUCUGAAUUUAUGAGAAUGUUACGAUAUUAUAUGUUUGAAAACUAAUGUUUGAGAAAGUUUGUUUUAAUGAAGAUUUUAAGAGUUGGAUAAUGUUUAGCUAAACAACAUUGAAUGUGAGAAUGUUUCUUGGACACUGCUGAUGUUAGAGAACAGUGCUUUGUUGGGAGAAAAGUUGUUAGCUGUUGAAUUAGAAAGCUAUGUUUGUUGCAGGAUGUUGAUGUUAGUCUGAGAAUGUUGGUAUGUGUGUGAGAAUGCUGGCGCUUCAUGUCCUUUGCGAUAGAUUGCGGCAUUAUGGAAACCCGGUAACCCACAAAAAGGCCACAGUCAGUCAAGAAGGCCCAAGCAUCAACCGCAGAGACUAAACAUCAGCACUUCUGUGAGUGUGGUUUUCCGAAUCGGAGCACACCAGCCGCUAUUGCCCACCCUUUCGAACAGAAAUUUUAAAAAUACCCAACAACACUGUGUUUGGUCUGCUCUAUUUGGACUAGACCAUUAAAAAUAUUUCUCAUAUGUCUGGAUUUACUGAGGAGGUGUAAUUUAGGAAGGUUUUUGCUCUCACUGGCUUACUGUCAGAGCUUGUGUGAGCCAAUAAGUGGGUAGUGCCUGAGGUUGGCAACCACAAACUGCCCAGAGAAAAAGGAAAGAGAAAAAGGGGAAAGCUUUAAACAAACACACAGGGUCUCUGUUGUAAGAGACUCCCGUGCAGAAUAAUAAGGUCACUUAGAGGCAAGGUAUAAUUGGACAUAAAUUUGACAUUCCUUUGGUUAAAUUUUGCUAAGGUUGUUCCAAAGGUACUUCUCAAACCAUUUUAUUUAAAAAAAAAACAACAACUAUAUAAUGUUUUAUGUAUGGUAGUUCAUAAAAUCUAUGGUCUGUUUUUAUUUAAGUGUUACAGAAUCCACUAAUACCCUGAAAACCAGUGGCAGUUUGUUGAUUUAGGCAGGUAGAUGGAGCCUAACAAUACAUGUUAAUCUUCAUAAUGUCCCUAUUCUCACAGCCACACUUUUUAAAUGACUCUUUUGACUGACUGACAACACUUUAAAAAUGUUUUGGUAUUUGACAGAUAUUCUGUUGACUUGCUCAACAGUUGAGGCUCAGCAUGCUCGGUGCUCCAUUUAUUACCAUGCAAUUAUAAUGACACUGCAACACGUGCUAACAGAGGCCCACUGGGGUAAGAUUCAUGCUGCCCUGUGCUGGGGGUGGAGCAGCAGACAAGACAGUUAAUGAUAGGGUUACCAAAUUGGGGGUAAGUUUAAAAAUACUGUCUCUCACACAAGACCUCUUUUAUAAGAGUGAAAUGGAAAACAUUUCUGUGAACAAUGGAAACCUAUAAGUGCUCUCAGUGUGCCUAUAAUGUACAGAACCUUGGGUUAGGGAAAGGGCUAUUAGUGUUGAUAAUGUUGGUAUGUCAGAAAUGUGUGUGCAACCAAGCAACCUUUUUUUUUUUUUAAACUAUACAGAGUUUUUCAGCGUCACUUGCAUGUCACAGGCUUAUGCUAAAAUUCAACAGGAAACAUAAUGCAAGUGUGAUAGCCUCUUAACUUUGCUUGAGGCUAUGUAGGUUUUAGUGACAUCCUUCCCACCAAAAUCUAUGGCCAUGAACUGCCGGAAAACCCUCAGGCUCGUGAAAUGGUACACCUCAUGCAGACACAUGGUUAAUAUGUCCUUAUAUUAACCAUGUCUCAAUGCUUAAUGCUAAUGGUUAAUGGUUUAUAUAAAACAAGCUUUGACUUGGCAAACAACAGCUAAACUGCAUCGAACACUCCCCUGUGAGAGGGUCUUUCACUUUCUAUUAUGUAUUAUAGAAAUCAUGUUCUGUUGGUGUUAAAUCUCUAAUGACUGUGCUAUCCGUCACUGGCAGUGAAUUUGAUUACAGAUUUAUCAAUUCCACUGGUUGGCUAUUUUUAAGAGACUUUCCAAGGUAUCCAGUCUUUCUAAUCUGACAAACACAAAGAGACAAGCGACUGGCUUAUGGUUAGAGUGACAGAUCAUUUUGCUGUGUUUCUUAAACCUUUAUGUAACACUGGUCCAGUGAACAAUAUUAUGGGAUUACUGUCACAGAAAAGGCUACAUCUCAUGCUACCUUCAAAUUUAGAGCAGCUAUCUUCCAAACAGUAUAGGUUUUCUUUAGAGCAUGAGCGGGCCUGGAAAUGACCAAGCUGAGCUCGAACAUAAUGCUUGUCUAAACAAGUUGUGAAAACACUGGCCCAUUUAAGCCCUGUCCAUGGGUAUCUUUUAAAAAAAUUUUUUUUCUCUACAUUUUUCACUGAAACUUUUCAAAAGGUCUCAUCCCAGUAUCACUUAUGAAUUAUGUAUGACUUAUGAAAGUGCUAGGAUUCUGUUUAUCACCACUAAUUGUCUGCAGUUUUUUUAUUUCAUAUGUUUACAGUUUAAUGUUACUUUUUAUUAUUACCUCAAGAUGCACUGUACUGCACUUCAGCCUACUCCACAGACCAAAUGAAGACACCGGACAAUUGUUACCCUGCAGCAGUAUUUUUCUCUUUCAGUCCAACAUGAAUCCCCUGUGUUUGACAUUUUUCAGCCCUCACUGGUGUUUUUGCACUACAUGCUCUUGACAUUAUUUCAGAGCCGUCUGCUUCACUUUUGACAGCGACUGGACUGGCAUGCUCUUGUGAAACCAAUAACACCAUUUCUGCAUGAACAGACAUUUUUGGAAAUUUGACUGAUUUUUUUAAAAGCAUCCCUAUAGUCAUGGCUGGGGCCUUGGACUGGAUGGGCAGCUCACUGCACAGAAGCAGCACUCAUGUGUGCCCCAAGAUCAAGUAGCUUGGAAUGAAGCCUGAAGAUUGAGAUGCCUGCCAAUCAAGAUUACAUCUUCUGCUCUGUCAAAACACAGUCCUUCCAAGAGAAAGAACCCUGUCAGAUUUGCUCCAAGAGAAUAUUCUGCAUUUCUCUGCUUGUCCUUCACUCCCCUCUUCAUAAGGCAAACUGAACUAUUGAACUCUCCGGUAUGGCACAAGCCCAGUGCGACUGAAUAAACAGCAGGCUUCUGGGCAGGGGUGGUGGUUUAGAUGUAAAACACACACACACACACACCCCACUGUACUAUCAAAAGACUCUUUAUGCAGUGGGCGCCAAAUGUGUAUGCUACAUACCCACAUGAUACUUAACAGUGGUGGUGAGUAUAAGCUCCCCAGGGUGUGCGUCUGUGCGCGCUAUGCACUUUCGCACUGAACCGAGCAUCUCGUUUUCCGCUUUAGUCAAUGGGGGUGUUACAGAAAUUCAUUUCGGCAAGAGUCUCUGACCUCUUCUCACUUAAAACUUCUCUGGAGUCCUGCUCCAGGAAAUCCUUAGAAUGCAGACAUGGCCACAAGGCAGUUCUAUAUGGAAACUGAGGCUGCAGGGUGGAAAAUUGAGCAUGUACCUCUUAUAAAAAUACCACUAAGACACUGCUGAGGCACCACAUAUGCAUAAAAUAACAAUUAUAAUCCCCCCGUCUGCAUUUCUGUAGGCACACUGUAUGCAGCCUGUAUAAUAAAGGGGUCAGAUUUGCCAACCUGAGGUUAGGACACAGUAAAUGUUUGUAGCCAUCUGAUCAGGAUUGUGGAGCGUGGGGGUUCUAACGGUACUGAGGAUCAGCCAUUUGGUUAUGAGGACAAUUAAUGCCAACAUUAUAGUGUAAACUGUGUUGAAAUCAGUUGUAUUCAAAUGAAAUUUGUGUCUAGAUAAGCAAGGUACAGAACUCUGCUGAACCCUAUUUUCAAAGUCACAAGCAUACAAAGUGAUAAACGUCCAUUUUUUUAUGUACCUGUUGGAAUUUCAGCACAGGUAGCAAAUAUUUAAUUGAAUUAGCAUUUUUUCAAUUCUAAGCAAGUACUUUGUACAACAUAGUAAAGCUACCAAUGCUAUGGUGUAAACAAUCUAAAGUUUCUUCAGUUCUCCAUUCAACUUUUGGUUCUUAGCUGUACUUAGUUAAGAUUUGCUGUCUUGAUUUCUUGGACUACCUAGGAUUAAAAAUACAUAGACAUUUUGAAGAAAAAGUGGAAGGAAGCAGAGCUUGACAGUGUCACUGCGCAAACCUCCACCUCUCCAGGUUUUCCUCCACCUGCUCCCUGCUCUCACUACAGAUCAC